UAGGGAAUCUUCCACAAUGGACGCAAGUCUGAUGGAGCAACGCCGCGUGAGUGAAGAAGGUUUUCGGACCGUAAAGCUCUGUUGUUGGUGAAGAAGGAUAGAGGUAGUAACUGACCUUUAUUUGACGGUAAUCAACCAGAAAGUCACGGCUAACUACGUGCCAGCAGCCGCGGUAAUACGUAGGUGGCAAGCGUUGUCCGGAUUUAUUGGGCGUAAAGCGAGCGCAGGCGGAAGAAUAAGUCUGAUGUGAAAGCCCUCGGCUUAACCGAGGAAUUGCAUCGGAAACUGUUUUCUUGAGUGCAGAAGAGGAGAGUAGAACUCCAUGUGUAGCGGUGGAAUGCGUAGAUAUAUGGAAGAAUACCAGUGGCGAAGGCGGCUCUCUGGUCUGCAACUGACGCUGAGGCUCGAAAGCAUGGGUAGCGAACAGGAUUAGAUACCCUGGUAGUCCAUGCCG
rnacentral:rRNA from 1 species